rnacentral:sRNA from 1 species
AUUUACUUUUUUUUUUAGUUUUUA